UACGUAGGGGCCUAGCGUUGUCCGGAUUUAUUGGGCGUAAAGAGCUCGUAGGCGGUUCGGCAAGUCGGAUGUGAAAUCUCCACGCUUAACGUGGAGGGGCCAUUCGAAACUGCCGUGACUCGAGUCCGGUAGGGGAGUGUGGAAUUCCCGGUGUAGCGGUGAAAUGCGCAGAUAUCGGGAGGAACACCAGUGGCGAAGGCGACUACCUGGCCCAUUCUUGACGCUGAGGCGCGAAAGCUAGGGGAGCGAACGGG
rnacentral:rRNA from 1 species